AAAUGAAUUGACGGGGGCCCGCACAAGCGGUGGAGCAUGUGGUUUAAUUCGAUGCAACGCGAAAAACCUUACCUGGGUUUGAAAUAGACAAGAAAAGUACCAGAAAUGGUCUUCUCGCAAGAGCUUGUUUACAGGUGCUGCAUGGCUGUCGUCAGCUCGUGUCGUGAGAUGUUGGGUUAAGUCCCGCAACGAGCGCAACCCUUGCCUUUAGUUGCCAGCAUUUAGUUGGGCACUCUAGAGGGACUGCCGACGUUAAGUCGGAGGAAGGUGGGGAUGACGUCAAGUCCUCAUGGCCCUUAUAUCCAGGGCUACACACGUGCUACAAUGGCAGUCACAAAGGGCAAUAGCAAAACCGCGAGGUGAAGCUAAUCCCAUAAAAGCUGUCUAAGUUCGGAUUGCAGUCUGCAACUCGACUGCAUGAAGCUGGAAUCGCUAGUAAUCGUGGAUCAGCAUGCCACGGUGAAUACGUUCCCGGGCCUUGUACACACCGCCCGU
rnacentral:rRNA from 1 species